CACGGGGGGAGCAAGCGUUGUUCGGAAUCACUGGGCGUAAAGGGCGUGUAGGCGGUUGGGUAAGUGGGAUGUGAAAUGCCUCGGCUCACCCGAGGAUCUGCAUCCCAAACUGCCUGACUUGAGUAUGGGAGAGGAUGAGGGAAUUCCUGGUGUAGCGGUGAAAUGCGUAGAUAUCUGGAGGAACACCGGUGGCGAAGGCGGCAUCCUGGACCGACACUGACACUGAGGAGCGAAAGCCAGGGGAGCAAACGGG
rnacentral:rRNA from 1 species